CAGUCUGCAACUCGAGUGCAUGAAGCUGGAAUCGCUAGUAAUCGCGGAUCAGAAUGCCGCGGUGAAUACGUUCCCGGGUCUUGUACACACCGCCCGUCACACCAUGGGAGUCGGGAAUGCCCGAAGUCAGUGACCCAACCCAAGGGAGGGAGCUGCCGAAGGCAGGCCUGGUGACUGGGGUGAAGUCGUAACAAGGUAAC
rnacentral:rRNA from 1 species